rnacentral:misc_RNA from 1 species
GAUGAAGAACGUAGCGAAAUGCGAUAAGUAAUGUGAAUUGCAGAAUUCAGUGAAUCAUCGAAUCUUUGAACGCACCUUGCACUCCUUGGUAUUCCGAGGAGUACGCCUGUUCGAGUGUUAUGAAGCUCUCAAAACGCAAUUGGCUUAAAACCUGAUUGUUGUUUUGGAUUUGAACUUUGUCGUGUUAUAACGGCUGGUUUUAAAAGUAUUAGCUGGUACUAGAACGAAUUGGUUCUACUCAACGUGAUAAUUAUCUGAUCGUUGAGGACAUUCCUUUCACGAGGAAUGGCCAUAGUAAAUUCAAUGGACUGCUUCUAAUCUGGCUUUAAUUCUUUAUUGGAUUAACCACUUUUCAAAUCUGACCUCGAAUCAGGUGGGACUACCCGCUGAACUUAAGCAUAUCAAUAAGCGGAGGA